GGGUUGUGAGGUUAAGCGACUAAGCGUACACGGUGGAUGCCCUGGCAGUCAGAGGCGAUGAAGGACGUGCUAAUCUGCGAUAAGCGUCGGUAAGGUGAUAUGAACCGUUAUAACCGGCGAUUUCCGAAUGGGGAAACCCAGUGUGAUUCGUCACACUAUCAUUAACUGAAUCCAUAGGUUAAUGAGGCGAACCGGGGGAACUGAAACAUCUAAGUACCCCGAGGAAAAGAAAUCAACCGAGAUUCCCCCAGUAGCGGCGAGCGAACGGGGAGCAGCCCAGAGCCUGAAUCAGUGUGUGUGUUAGUGGAAGCGUCUGGAAAGGCGUGCGAUACAGGGUGACAGCCCCGUACACAAAAAUGCACAUACUGUGAGCUCGAUGAGUAGGGCGGGACACGUGGUAUCCUGUCUGAAUAUGGGGGGACCAUCCUCCAAGGCUAAAUACUCCUGACUGACCGAUAGUGAACCAGUACCGUGAGGGAAAGGCGAAAAGAACCCCGGCGAGGGGAGUGAAAAAGAACCUGAAACCGUGUACGUACAAGCAGUGGGAGCACGCUUAGGCGUGUGACUGCGUACCUUUUGUAUAAUGGGUCAGCGACUUAUAUUCUGUAGCAAGGUUAACCGAAUAGGGGAGCCGAAGGGAAACCGAGUCUUAACUGGGCGUUAAGUUGCAGGGUAUAGACCCGAAACCCGGUGAUCUAGCCAUGGGCAGGUUGAAGGUUGGGUAACACUAACUGGAGGACCGAACCGACUAAUGUUGAAAAAUUAGCGGAUGACUUGUGGCUGGGGGUGAAAGGCCAAUCAAACCGGGAGAUAGCUGGUUCUCCCCGAAAGCUAUUUAGGUAGCGCCUCGUGAAUUCAUCUCCGGGGGUAGAGCACUGUUUCGGCAAGGGGGUCAUCCCGACUUACCAACCCGAUGCAAACUGCGAAUACCGGAGAAUGUUAUCACGGGAGACACACGGCGGGUGCUAACGUCCGUCGUGAAGAGGGAAACAACCCAGACCGCCAGCUAAGGUCCCAAAGUCAUGGUUAAGUGGGAAACGAUGUGGGAAGGCCCAGACAGCCAGGAUGUUGGCUUAGAAGCAGCCAUCAUUUAAAGAAAGCGUAAUAGCUCACUGGUCGAGUCGGCCUGCGCGGAAGAUGUAACGGGGCUAAACCAUGCACCGAAGCUGCGGCAGCGACGCUUAUGCGUUGUUGGGUAGGGGAGCGUUCUGUAAGCCUGUGAAGGUGUACUGUGAGGUAUGCUGGAGGUAUCAGAAGUGCGAAUGCUGACAUAAGUAACGAUAAAGCGGGUGAAAAGCCCGCUCGCCGGAAGACCAAGGGUUCCUGUCCAACGUUAAUCGGGGCAGGGUGAGUCGACCCCUAAGGCGAGGCCGAAAGGCGUAGUCGAUGGGAAACAGGUUAAUAUUCCUGUACUUGGUGUUACUGCGAAGGGGGGACGGAGAAGGCUAUGUUGGCCGGGCGACGGUUGUCCCGGUUUAAGCGUGUAGGCUGGUUUUCCAGGCAAAUCCGGAAAAUCAAGGCUGAGGCGUGAUGACGAGGCACUACGGUGCUGAAGCAACAAAUGCCCUGCUUCCAGGAAAAGCCUCUAAGCAUCAGGUAACAUCAAAUCGUACCCCAAACCGACACAGGUGGUCAGGUAGAGAAUACCAAGGCGCUUGAGAGAACUCGGGUGAAGGAACUAGGCAAAAUGGUGCCGUAACUUCGGGAGAAGGCACGCUGAUAUGUAGGUGAAGUCCCUCGCGGAUGGAGCUGAAAUCAGUCGAAGAUACCAGCUGGCUGCAACUGUUUAUUAAAAACACAGCACUGUGCAAACACGAAAGUGGACGUAUACGGUGUGACGCCUGCCCGGUGCCGGAAGGUUAAUUGAUGGGGUUAGCGCAAGCGAAGCUCUUGAUCGAAGCCCCGGUAAACGGCGGCCGUAACUAUAACGGUCCUAAGGUAGCGAAAUUCCUUGUCGGGUAAGUUCCGACCUGCACGAAUGGCGUAAUGAUGGCCAGGCUGUCUCCACCCGAGACUCAGUGAAAUUGAACUCGCUGUGAAGAUGCAGUGUACCCGCGGCAAGACGGAAAGACCCCGUGAACCUUUACUAUAGCUUGACACUGAACAUUGAGCCUUGAUGUGUAGGAUAGGUGGGAGGCUUUGAAGUGUGGACGCCAGUCUGCAUGGAGCCGACCUUGAAAUACCACCCUUUAAUGUUUGAUGUUCUAACGUUGACCCGUAAUCCGGGUUGCGGACAGUGUCUGGUGGGUAGUUUGACUGGGGCGGUCUCCUCCUAAAGAGUAACGGAGGAGCACGAAGGUUGGCUAAUCCUGGUCGGACAUCAGGAGGUUAGUGCAAUGGCAUAAGCCAGCUUGACUGCGAGCGUGACGGCGCGAGCAGGUGCGAAAGCAGGUCAUAGUGAUCCGGUGGUUCUGAAUGGAAGGGCCAUCGCUCAACGGAUAAAAGGUACUCCGGGGAUAACAGGCUGAUACCGCCCAAGAGUUCAUAUCGACGGCGGUGUUUGGCACCUCGAUGUCGGCUCAUCACAUCCUGGGGCUGAAGUAGGUCCCAAGGGUAUGGCUGUUCGCCAUUUAAAGUGGUACGCGAGCUGGGUUUAGAACGUCGUGAGACAGUUCGGUCCCUAUCUGCCGUGGGCGCUGGAGAACUGAGGGGGGCUGCUCCUAGUACGAGAGGACCGGAGUGGACGCAUCACUGGUGUUCGGGUUGUCAUGCCAAUGGCACUGCCCGGUAGCUAAAUGCGGAAGAGAUAAGUGCUGAAAGCAUCUAAGCACGAAACUUGCCCCGAGAUGAGUUCUCCCUGACUCCUUGAGAGUCCUGAAGGAACGUUGAAGACGACGACGUUGAUAGGCCGGGUGUGUAAGCGCAGCGAUGCGUUGAGCUAACCGGUACUAAUGAACCGUGAGGCUUAACCUUACAACGCCGAAGGUGUUU
rnacentral:rRNA from 1 species